GCCGGCGUGGCGGAAUUGGCAGACGCCUUGGACUUAAAAUCCAAUGAUGGCAAACCCAUCGUAUCGGUUCGAGUCCGAUCGCCGGCA
rnacentral:tRNA from 1 species